rnacentral:tRNA from 1 species
UGAGGGUUAGCAUAAGUUAAAUGCAUCUUAUUUACACUAAGAAUAUAAAAAUUUUUUACUCUCAU